GACGAACGCUGGCGGCGUGCUUAACACAUGCAAGUCGAACGGAAAGGCCCUGCUUUUGUGGGGUGCUCGAGUGGCGAACGGGUGAGUAACACGUGAGUAACCUGCCCUUGACUUUGGGAUAACUUCAGGAAACUGGGGCUAAUACCGGAUAGGAGCUCCUGCUGCAUGGUGGGGGUUGGAAAGUUUCGGCGGUUGGGGAUGGACUCGCGGCUUAUCAGCUUGUUGGUGGGGUAGUGGCUUACCAAGGCUUUGACGGGUAGCCGGCCUGAGAGGGUGACCGGCCACAUUGGGACUGAGAUACGGCCCAGACUCCUACGGGAGGCAGCAGGGGGGAAUAUUGCACAAUGGGCGGAAGCCUGAUGUAGCAACGCCGCGUGCGGGAUGACGGCCUUCGGGUUGUAAACCGCUUUCGCCUGUGACGAAGCGUGAGUGACGGUAAUGGGUAAAGAAGCACCGGCUAACUACGUG
rnacentral:rRNA from 1 species